rnacentral:rRNA from 1 species
AUGAGAAUAUUAGCACCAUGGGCGGAACCUGAAUGCAAAACCAACGCCGCGUGAAGGGAUGACGGCCUUCUUCCGUUGUAAACCGCUUUCGCCUGUGAACAAACCAUGAAUGAACGAAA